rnacentral:lncRNA from 1 species
UAAAGGAGUAGGUCCGGUAGGGACCGAUUUUGGCCUCAAAUUUCAGGUUCAUCUGACGAAAGAUUUUGACCACUUUUUAAACACUUAAGUGUCUAUUUUAUUUGAAUUAAUUAGUUUAUGUGAAAGAUUUUAACAGAUUUAGUCAUUAAAAACGAUCCGAUUCAAGCUCAAAUAUGAAAAAUCUACCUAAUAUGCCGAAAAAUGUCACUUUUCAGAUGGUUUUUGGUAAAAAUGAAAGUGGCCGCAUCCGUGUUCAUCCUCAACCUUUAUAUAUGUUAUGUAUUAUCAUAAAAUACAACUUAUCUCCUGCACCACUUAGAAAACACCAUAUUUUCAAAUUAAACUGUCACAUCAAUUAUAUUAUGUUAGUUCACAGACACCACAUGGUUUCUCUCUCAAUUUAUAGGUGACAAUUGUUGCAAGAAGGGAUAAAAAUGGAAUACACAAUACCAAUCAAGAAAAGUAUCUUUUUU